UACUUAACGGUAGGGGGUUAAUUGGCCACUUUAACAUAGUUUAGGGGGUCAAUUGGCUGAAAAAAUAGUUCAAGGGGGAAAUUGAAACUCACGUGAUAGUUUAGGGGGUUAAAUGACAGUUUACUCUUUAACUAAAUGAGCCUUUUUCUAAAAUAACGGGCAGGUGAGCCUUGCUCACCAUAAACUGGCGACGUGAGACAUUGAAACUUAAGGAAAAAUGCUGGAUAAUAAUCAACCAGAAAUAAAACAUUAUCUUUCAUUCACCCCUUGUCGUUUACUGCCUGAAUACUCCUCUCAAAUGAAACACCAUUUUGAGGAACAAGAUAUGAUAAUGGUAAUGACUUAGAGUCUAAGAAAUUAUUUAUACAUAGAGAUUUAUGUUCUAUGUACAUAAAACAUCUUGAAACACUUUAUCUUCUAGAGAAUUUAGUGUAAACACUCAUUCAAUUCUACUAUUUUUGUGGGAAUUAGGAGGGAUAAGUUUUCUUUGUGAUUUAUGUAUCUUCUACUUUCAUUUUGACAAAAUAUGCAAGUUGUCACCCGUAUUUUCAUUCAACAUCCAUUGAAUUUAGCGAGUUGUUCAAGUCAAGCCAAUUUUAAACACUAGAUGAGGCCUUGAAUAAUACAUUUCAUAAUAAUAAUCACUUUAAUCAAGUGGGUUGCUUGGCAAGACUAGCAUUCAAUUACCUUUAAGUUAGUUCUCAACCCACUCAUCAUUUGUUAGUCAACUUUGCAAUGAUUUGAAUGUCAAGCCCAUUAACUCAAUUACCUCUACAUACACAUGGUUCAAAUAUUAAAUUGUUCGCCUGGCAAUUAUCUACCAUGCUUUCCGGGAAUCCAAACAGAUGACAUAUAUUAUGAUAAGUGACUUUCUUACUUUGUAAAAGGAGAAUGUAGGUAUAUCGUGAAGGAAAUAUUUGUGAAAAUAAGUUCAUUUGAGCAAUAUCUACAACAUGAAAUUAACAAUUAAAGGCGGAAUCAUGCUUGUAUGCACUCAAAAACAGAAUUUUACCCAUGAAAUUCAAGGCCUAGUGAGUGUGGUGAACCAAGACUCAAUUCAAGAACAAAGUGAGUUGAGAAAUAUUAUACCUUUGUUGAUUCCUCUUUGCAUAAGUAAAGGCUAAUCACCCAAGAGAUAGGGCCUUCAUUCCUUACUUCUUAGCUCCAUGAAUUUCUUGGAUGAGGAUGGUAGAAUGGAUUCUCCAAGUUCCCAAAAUAGAAAACCUCUAAGUCUCCACACCAAGGAGAGCAUUGAUGAAGAGAUGAGUGACCUAGAGGAAGUAAGAUUGCUAGCUAAUUUCCUCUAGGGUGGCCGGCCUCUUAGAGAGAAAAUGAGAGCAUUGUGUUCUCAUCUUUUCUCCAAAAGAAACCCUAAUGAUGAAAUGUUAUAAAGUUGUUUAUAUAGUCCCUUCAAUUAAGUGACAAAAGAACCAAAACCCUUCAUCCUCUAAUUUGGCCGGCCUUAAGGGUUUAUUGGGCUUUCAAACCCUUUGUGUAUUCAAGUUGUCGUACAACUUGAGUUAAUGGGCUUGACAUUCAAAUCUUAUUGGGCCUUGUGGCCCAAAACUAACCCGAGGUCUAUAACAAACUUAUUCGUUUGAUUAAUUAACAUAUUAAUUAAUCCUUGCCAUAAAUAAUUAAACCAUUUAAUUAACCUUACUCAUAUCCGUUAUUUCUUCAAUCUCUACCUUACAUGGUGUAUGAUCCAUUAGGUUCCUUUUAGCAAGGUAGUGGGCAAUUAGAACUCUUCAAAUCGAUUGUGAAUUGAAACUUACUUUCAAUUCUCCCUUUAAUGAUUACACACCUUUAGGGCUUCUACAAACCAUGAGUGACACCUAGCAGUAUGUCAUGGCUACCCAAGCUAAUCAGAAGAGGUGGAUAACCUAGUCAGUUUAGGAUUACAAUGCAAUAUUGUCUUUCUCUAAUACAAUACUCUUGACCACAUUGUUUGGUUUGAUAGUUUAUUCAUAUCUACUAUCCAAUGUGAUUCUCUUACUUAUAUGAUUACCUUGAAUGUGAUUCGGAACGACUUCCUAAAUCUCAUUCAUACUUUGGCCAGAGAUUCUUAAUCAUAUCAUAGACUAUUCUCUCUCAAACGGUUUGAAGGUUAGAGAUCCCUUACUACGCAUUCACUUGCCUCCAUGGCUAUGUGGCUUAAACCUAACUAUGCCGUGGACACCUUCUAAUGGAGUGACUUUGACAUAGUCAAAGAUCAAGGACCUAACCACAAGAUAACUAUGAUGCCUCAGGUCAAAGGAUUACUUUGCAUUAUCCCAAGCAUAAGUUCUCAUGUGACAUGUGUUUAUACCAUAUUUAGGGCCUCGUAUUUAGACCUCGUAUAAAUACUCGAGGGACUUAAAUGUAAUUAUGUAAUAAAGGAAGGGGCAAAUAUGUAAUUAGGGGAGGAGCCCUUAUUCUAUAAAAGGGCCUCCUCACCCUCACAAAAAAAAGGCCUCCUCACAUCCCCUAAGCUCUCUCUCCCUCUUCAACAGAGAAAUACAAUACAAUCAGUGUGGACGUAGCCCAAACAUUGGGGUGAACCACGAUACAUCUUGUGUCAUUUACAUUACUUGCAGAUUCACGGUCGGAUUUACGUUGUACCAAUACCAUCCGGUUUUGUGCAUCAACAUUUGGCACCGUCUGUGGGAAACGAUACAAAAAACUAUGUUGGUUCUCUUUCAUUUUUUCAUCAAAUUUCACCACUGUGAAUCUGCAAAAUCUGCAAAAACCUAUAAACAGAAAAGAUCCAAAUUCCAACACCUGUGCUCUUCCAUCCGUCUAUGUUCUUGUAAAAGCAACAUCCAAAUUACAAAAAAACAACAUCCAAAAGCUCCUGGAAAACACCUCCACUUCUCCCUUAACCUUCACACGUGUCCAAAAGCUCCUGGAGAAAGAUUAGGGGAAGUAGCAGGCUUUUUUCGAGCUCUUCAAUGGCUGUCGACGAGAACGUGGAGAGCCGCGGCAGCCAAGCGGUGCUGUCAUCGCAGGCACAGCCAUGCAGAUUCAGGCAGAAGCUAGAGACCCACAACGAGGUGCUCCAACGAAUCCAAGCGUCUGCUUCGUUGACCCAAAACAAACCGAGUCCGCUUCUUUCCCAUCGCCGGGACCCGCGGUUCAUUGCGGCCAGUCGUCGACCUUAGCUCAAGCUCUCUGUUAACCAGGUCGAUCUCACCGGAGCUCGGGAAGCUCACUGGUCUUGAAGUGUUGAGAGCAGGAGGGAACCAGUCCCAUCGCAUGGAAGCAGCUGCCCCAAAGUCUCAUCCGCCGGAGUUCGCCAUCUCCAUCAAGAUCUCCGUCAAGUUUGCCAUCUUCUGUCUCAGAUUCUGUUGCAGGAACCCGCGAUGUCCACUCUCUCUGCUCCUCCUGCUCGCCUGAAUUUUUUUGGCGCAGUCUCACACGAAUUUUAAGAUCUGAGGAAGUUGCUGGCAUUUCUUCUCCGCUGGCCUUCCCAUUUCCUGCCCACUCCUUCUCGCCGGACCAUCCUACCUACCGCCGCGUCUUCGUCCUGCGCGACGACCUCGCCGUCGAAUCCUCCCACUCCUUGUUCUUCAAGUCCCUCCAGUCUCAAGGCUUCGAGCUCGAUUUCAUGCUUGCCGAUGAUCCCCAGAAACGGCCUCCACGGCUACGACGCCUUGAUCCUCUUUUCUCCUUCCGUCGAUUUGGUCAUGGUUUGAUCGUAUUUUCCGAACUCACCGUCGCACUUGCAGACCAAAGAAACAGAAAAAAUGAAACUCUACCUCUCACGGUGGUGAGGACAACUAUAAAUGCCGACAAAGUUUUCAGCAAUGGUUUCCACUGGUUUCCCUCACGGUGAUGAAGCUUUGUUACAACUACAAGGAGUUACUUGCAAUGGUUUCCAUCACCUUCAAACUGAAAGCAGAGCUUUCUUGCAAUGGUGGGCUCAUGAAAUACCGACAGAGCAUCAACUUGGCAGCACCGAAAAAGCAUCAACGGCAUCAACUUUGCUUGUUAGACAUUAUCCCACUAUCUGCCAGCCCACAAUCCCACUAUCCAAACCACAGAAGAUAAGUCUUCUUUUACUACAAGAUGCUGGCCACACUUUCUUAAAGCAAGAUUGUUUUAAAUUUUUUUAUUAUUAUACCUAUUCUUCAAAUAUUAGUGUGGAAGUGGGCCUCCCGGAAACCAAUGGUGAAACUCGAAGAAGCCAGGUUUUCAGCCUGCCUUUCCCCUGCCCAUGAUAAUGGAUGUACUGGACGAGACAAUCAUUCGAGAUGGGCAAUUUUUGGAUUCCCGUGACCCUUCUACUCUCUGCAUUCCUAUCUCUAACUCGUUUAUCGUGCGGGUAUGGGUACAACAAAGGUGCCAGCUUUGGCUUAUUCCCAUGCCUGACCCAAAAAACCAGUGGAUGGGUUCAUUACUCAGGAUUCCACUUAUUCUGCCUUACCAUAAAGGAAGAGGAAAAAGAAAGAGGGUAGCACUGUUAGAAAAGUGGAGGUGUGAUGAUGGGUCAUCUGUGAUGUAUCUUUAAAAGCACAAAGAGAGUGGACAACACAAAAGAAGAGAAAGUGGAGAAAGCGAGGAUAUGCAUGCAUACGCGGGCACCGCAGACAUUAUUUUUAUUUUUGUUGGUAUAUGUACUGUUGUCACCAUUUGUAUCUUCGGUAUCAUACCCAGUACAAAAAAAAAAAAAAAAAAAAAAAAACGGCAAAGCCCAAAAUUAAUGGGCUGGCGUGUCGUGGAGGGCGAAGGCCCAUAAGCCCAAAAUAGCACCAACCAGGUGACCAAAAGUAUGCCCAGUACUCCAAAAAUUAUUCGGCAACUUGCCUCUAUUAUCACCAACCAGGUGAUCAAAAGUACGCCCAGUACUCCAAAAUUAUUCGGCAACCUGCCGCUAUUACCACCAACCAGGUGAUGAAAUGUACAACCCGUACUCCAAUAUCAUUUGGCAACUAGCCAUUCAUACCACCAACCAGGUGAUGAAAUGUACAAACCGUACUCUAAAAUAAUUUGGCAACUAGCCAUUUAUGCCACCAACCAGGUGAUCAAAGGUACACCCAGUACUUCAAAAUUAUACAUGAGCACUACUCAUGUCAUUCGUACAUAGACAUUCAUGAGCAUCACUCAUAUCAAUCAUACAUAAACAUUCAUGAGCAUCACUCAUGUUAACAUCCAUGAGCAUCACUCAUGUCAAUCAAACAUUCAUGAGCAUCACUCAUGUCAAUUAAACAUUCAUGAGCAUCACUCAUGACAAUCAGCUUCAAAAGGUUCAUUUACAGAGCCUUAGCUUCAAAAACGUCAUUUACAAAAGCGCUAGCUUCAAAAGCUUCAUUUACAGAGCUCCAACUUCAAAAGCUUCAUUUACAAAAGCUCUAGCUUCAAAAGCUUCAUUUACAGAGCUCCAGCUUCAAAGCUUCACUUGCAAAGCUUCACCUACAAAGCUUCAGUGCAUGGUCUACAAAAACCACCUCCGAACAACCGCCAUUUCAGCCCAUACAUGGAUUGAAUUUGAAGUCUCCAGCCAACAGCGUCUAUUGACCGAAGACUUGGGGGACUACAUUAUGUACCAUAUAUUGGGCCUCAACUGGGCCUUAUGAAAAAUACUUGGGGGACUCUAGCCCAUUAUUCAUGUACUGAGGAGCGAGCCCUUAUUUUAUAAAAGGGACUCCCUCACCAUCAUUAGAGAGUAACGCCGCCAGCUGAGCAACCGCCUCGCCGCCAGCAUCAACUCUAGCCCAUUAUUUAUGUAUUGAGGAGCGAGCCCUUAUUCUAUAAAAGGAACUCCCUCACUUUCAUUAGAGAGCACCCAUUAUUCAUGUACUGAGGAACGAGCCCUUAUUUUAUAAAAGGGACUCCUUCACCUUCAUUAGAGAGCAACACCGCCAGCUGAGCAACCGUCUCGCCGUGAGCAUCAUUCCGAACUCAUAUUUAUGUAUUGAGGAGCAAGCCCUUAUUCUAUAAAAGGGACUCCCCUCACCACCAUUAGAGAGCAUCAACUCUAACCCAUCAUCCAUGUAUUGAGGAGUGAGCCCUUAUUCUAUAAAAAUGACUCCCUCACCUUCAAACGCCGCAAGUCGAGCUAACCAAGGCAACAUAAGCCACGAGCCGAGCAGCCUCGCAGCGUGGGCUACUUCUAGUUGAGCGUCAUUUCAGAUUGAGCACUGCCUCAUAUCGAACAUCAGUUCAAGACAGCAUCUAGUUACUUCGGCCCACACAUGGACUGAAUUUCAAGUCUCCAGCCAAAAGACUCUCCUGACUGAAGACUUGGGGGACUACUGUUUAUACCAUAUUUAGGGCCUUGUAUUUAGACCUCGUAUAAAUACUCGAGGGACUUAAAUGUAAUUAUGUAAUAAAAGAAGGGGCAAAUAUGUAAUUAGGGGAUGAG
rnacentral:lncRNA from 1 species